CAAAGGAAGAAAGGCAGAGAGGCAGAGAGAAAGAAAGGCAGAGAGAGGGAACAAAAUCACUAAGACAUGUUAUGUAAUGCUAAAUGGUACAGCUAA